AAUUGAAAUAAAAAAGUUCAACAACUGAUGACUUUUGUUUUCGACCGGGCGGACAUAUUUAGUAUCCCAUCAUCACUGUUUUCUUUAGAAACAGUAGUCGCGUUCUCUGUGUACAAAAUUUUGAGGAUGUCGGUGACGGGAGAAUUGAUGAAUGGUCGCCAGAUAUCUGAUGUUGAUACUUUUUCCUCAUGCACUCUUUUUAUGCG